CUGCUUCUUCUGUUGUAAAUUAAGGACACUUUCAAAUGAUAUCUUAUUAUUUAUAACAAUUAACAAAAAGUGAUUUGAAUAUCAGCAUUGAUGACCAUGCAAUGAAAUUUUGCUACCGACUACAAACCAUCAUUCUAAUAAUAGAAGAGAAAUAUUGUUCUGCAUGUUCAGAUUAGCCGGUCGAGUUACUAGACUAUCAGUGCAACUUAAUCAUGUGCUCGCCAUUACCAUUAUAUCUAAUUAUGUAUGUUGCAUUAGUCUGUAAUUCACUAGAGUAAAUACGUAUAUCAAAUAUUAUCUUGUCACUUCUGCUUUGUUAAUACAUCAUAAUACACAGAUUUUCUCCAUAAGUAUUACAUUUCGGAGACGAAUCAUUUUUCGUGGACAAAGUCAUCACAUCCUAUAACAAUUUUGCUGACAACAAUACCUGUAUUUAGAACAUAUCGUAAAACACACAAUGUUAAUUUAUUGAUAUCUCGACAGUUUGUGUGGAAAUAUGCAUGACUAUAGGUAGGUGUCAGAACACGGGAUAGAUAGCAGAACUUAAUUAUAUUUGUAUAUAUAUUCUAUAUAAAAUUUGCAUAUUCAUAUUGACAGUGUGGGGGAACACGUGACCUGAAAUGAUGCUCAACACAGAUAAAAUGGCGGCCACAGAGCCAAAUUUCACGGAAAAUGCGAGGAACGUUGCCCAAAGCGUACAAACUGUCUGAAACACACAGGACGCCACGUGCCAUUUGUGUAGGAGUAGUUCUAGCUCAAAAUCAAGCAGUACGUACAUGUCGAAACAAAGACACACACAUUUAAUAAUGAAGGAUGUUAGAUACUACACGGCCAAAGAAGUAAAGAAGAUCCAAGCUUCAACUGGAAAUAUGUCCAAAAAAGACUUAAGGUGUAAGGUUGAAAAGGGCAUUAAAAAGGAAAACAAAAUACUACUAACAUGAAGCAAGCUAACAUAAGCAAGGGACUGUUAAAAUUUGUAGUCUUGUGUUUUGGAAACAACAAUUUGAUUCAUUACUAAUUUGCAAUUUCUUACUUUUAGUGUGUAUCGGUCUCACUUUACCUAACAGUAAAGAGUGACAUAAUUUUUCUCCUUCUCAACCGAAUUAGAUUUAUGUUUAUAUUAUAUUAUUAUUAUAUGACGAAAUUAAACAUAAGGCAUGUCACUUUCAAUACUUAAUUAAAUACGUGUGGAUGUGACUUAAAAAUAUAUUAUGGAUAACAAUAAAAUCGAAGGUAAA